rnacentral:tRNA from 1 species
GUAGCAGACUUAGCCGAAUCGUUACGCUGUCCGCUUUGUAAGCGAAUGAUCAUGGGUUCGAUUCCCAUCUGCUCCA